rnacentral:lncRNA from 1 species
CAGGUUUAAAUGUAAUUUCUUGAGCCUCAGACCCAGCAGAAAAGCCAAGCUUUGGUUUUAUUAAAGUUUCCAGCAGGGGGAGGGUGCUGAAUUUGGGAAAAACCAAUUUCUCCGUGCUGUUUCCACCCAGUUGGAGCCAAGUGCUCUGGGAGCAAUGACUCGGGGACAGGAUUCCCAGGAGAGCUGGCAGCUGUGUUGUCUCCUAAAAAUAUCUCAAAAAACCCGCUCCAACCUGUCGGAAAUAGCGCGGGGAAGGAGCGGGAUGCGCUCCUGGGCUCCGGCAGGAGCCGGGAGGGGAUGUGACAGCAGAGAGGUGACAAAGCCGCGGGACAAGCAGCAGGAGCAUCCGAGGAGGAGGAGGAGGAGGAGGAGGAGGAAGGCUCUCCUGAAUGACAGCAACCCACAGCAAAGUGGUGACAGGGUUUGUCCCCUCCCCACACCCCCCAUGCCCUCUGGGGACCGUUCCUGCGCCCCCAGGAUGCUGGAGCAGCUUUCCUUGGCCAAGCUGGAGUGGGAGGAGGGAUCCCAGAGGAUCCCGUGGGGUCUGGGCAGCUCCAGGUCUCCAGCUCUGCCCGUCCCCAGCACAGCAACACCACCCACCCCUGGCAGUGCCACAGGGACCCCCAGGAAAGGCACUUGUGGCAUCAGGAGCUGCCCUGGCCCCGUGGUGAUCCCAGCAGGAAUUCUGGAUCCAAGCCCUCCCUGUGACAGGGCACAGCUGAGAGCAGAGGGGAGGAACUCGCCCCAAACUCACACCCUGCUCCAGACCCCCCCAACAAGCCAGGCAGCCCCAAAAUUAAGGUGAGGAGCCAUCAGCUCCAAAAGAUCCUGAAAAUGCAUUUUGAAGAAAAGUGUUUUUUUUUUUUUUUUUUUUUUUUAACCCCCCCCCCCCCCCCCCCCCCCCCCCCCCCCCCCCCCCCCCCCCCCCCCCCCCCCCCCCCCCCCCCCCCCCCCCCCCCCCCCCCCCCCCCCUUUUUUUUUUUUUUUUUUUUAAUGCGGGAUUUGGGGCAAGCUGGUCUCAUGGAAGUUAUUUUGUUUGGAAAUCCAAACAAUUCCGGGAUUCUGUGAUUUGGUUUUGGCAAGCUGGUCUCAUGGAAGUUAUUUUGUUUGGAAAUCCAAACAAUUCUGGAAUUCUAUGAUUUGGUUUCUUUGCCUGAUCUGCUCUGAUCCAAGACAAAAAACACCAGGAGGAGCAGCCCUACUGUGGAAAACUGGUCAGAGCUGAAACACCUCAGUGGAAAAUUAAAUUUGGAGUGGGGGGAGCAGCGCAGGGGGUGCUGCUGAUCAUGACUCUGAUUUUUGGGGACCUGGCAGAGCUCUGCCAAAGCUGCUCCUGCUGCCAGCAGGGAAUCACCAACUCUCCAUGAGCACCCCAGGAAUGUCCUCUUCCUCUUUAACACGAGACCUUUGUGGUUUUUUCCAUGGCAAGAAGUGAUUUUCCAUGGAGCCAGCAACCCCAGCUGAGCACCAGGAUUGCACCAGCACCACUCAGAGGUGAAAAUCAAAGGGAUUUGAAACACUUGAGCUGGGGAGGGGACGAAAGCUCCUCCUUUGGUGGCAGGAGCCCCUCUCCUUGCUGCACUGGGGGUGGUGUGUUAUUGCCUUCCCUUAAACAACAAUUUUCUGGGAUUUUUGGAAGUUCUGGUGGCACCAGCUUCAUUCUAUUCUUGACUGGCUGGGAAGUGUUGCUGUGUUUGAUCUUCCCUCGAGGUCUGAGAGAAGGAAAGGGAACAAUUUUAUCCUUCUGGAAAUCACAUCUGAGUUGUUUGUUCGCUUUUUUUUUUUUUUUUUUUUUUUUUUUUUUUUUCCCCCCCCCCCCCCCCCCCCCCCCCCCCCCCCCCCUUUUUUUUUUUUUUUUAGUUUUCUUUUUUGUUUGUUCGCUUAUUUUUAGAUUUUUUUUUUUUUUCAAAUAUUUUUAGAUUUCUCAACUGAGCUACCCCAAAUCAAAGGGUAAAUUUUCAAUUGUCCACCUUAAUGGUUUGCUCACUAAAAUCUGUGGAUCAUGAAUGGUCCAGAGGAGCUGCUGCCUUUUAACUAUUGAAACACAGCAGCAGCAGCUGGGAGUUCACAUCCUUCCCUCCCAGCUGUUUGCUCUGCAGCACAUUUUAUCUUUAUUCUAUUUGAGGGUCAACACCAAAACCAAGGGGGGGGCAAAAUCAGUGGCCCUGGAUGCUUUGGGGUUGUAACCCACUGGGAUUACCCAUGGAGGGGAUGAGAGAGAUUUAAAAACAUCCCAGGAACGCCCUGUGGAGCCUUCCCAUGGCACAGCCUCUCCGACCUGGGUUUCUCCAUCCAGAAAAGUUUUCCUGACACCUGAGUCAGCUCCUUCCUCCACGGCUCAGUCCCACACUGACCUGCAGAACAGAUUUAUCCCGCUCACUGCCCUUUGUGGCUUUGCACAGGGUUUGACCUGACUGAGGUUUUCACCUGUGCAGGUUGAUGUGAGCAUAACCAACCUAAAAUGCUGGGCUGUUUCCUCUCUGCUUUGUUUUCUCCUCUCUGCACUCUUAACCUUAUACUGAGUGCUGGAAUUACCACUGGGCUGAAAAUCCCCCUUGGGGACAUCCUAUUGUCCCACCCUGCUUGUGAAGGCUUUGGAGCAAACACCUCCUCCCUGAAGCUCUUAAUUGUGGGGUUAGGUUGGUUAAUUUUUUUAAUUCCCUCCACCAGCAAAAUACAGGCACAUUUUUCACCCAGGGAAGGUGGAGCUUGAGAGAGUGAGCCAGGUUUGGGCAAUAGAAAUCAGAUUUAUGCACAAAAAAAAAAAAAAAUAAAAAUUCUCAAAAGUAUUGAACUACUUCAAAGUCCAGGUUUGGGUUGCAAGUGUGAGAAUGAGGAUGUUUUCCAGAGGCUGUCACAUGAAUUGGGGGUGCCCAGGGGGCUGCAGUGAUGCUCCCAGGCACCAUUCCCACCCCACCCUGCUCAUCCCAGGCUCACCCCAGGGCACAGGGACCUGCCCAGGGACGGACCCAGCCUGGCUUGGCUCUGCUGGACUUGGCUCAGGCACUUCUGCGUGGGGGAGUGGAGGGGCAGGAGGGUCCUGGUGCUGCCACCAGCGGGGGGGACGUGGCUGUGGUGCUGCUCAGGGGUCACCUAAGGAGGGGACAGCACCCUCAAGGUGCUGCUGCCCAGUCGAGGGGGAAUUUAUGGGUGAGUGAGAGUUUGAGGCUUCUAAAGUGCAGUGCAGGUUACAUGGUCUUUGCUGUAGACUGUAAACUCCUCAGGACAGACUCCUUGCCCUUACUUUUAUUUUAUUUUAUUUUUUAUAUCUGUAAAGUGACAUUCCAGCUGAGAAAACCUUACCCCUAAACAACUACUACUACAGGAAAAAACGGGAAUCUUGGUGAAAGGAACAGCCUGGGCUCCCCUUGCCAGCGUCCCAUCAUGGGGAGUGCUUCCCAUGGCCACAGGGAGUUCCUGCCAGCUGUGCACCUCUGGAAUGCACCCUCCAAAAUUCCACCCCCCAGUGCUACGACCUGGCCCCCUCCAAGCAAAACUUCCACGUGUCAUUAAAGCUGAGGUGUUAAUUCAGGCUCAGGGGAGCCUGCAAAGCUUCUGUUCAGGCUGCUGGGUGUCUGGAAAGGGAGGGAGAGAUGGAAAAGUUGCUGGGAGGAAAUUUGAGAGCUCUUCUGUGGAAAGAGCUCUCUGAAGAAGCCAAGUUCAGCCUUAACUUUGUCUCUGGAGUAAAAACUUCCCAAAAUGAAGCAGCUGCAAAAGCAGGAGCUCUCGUGGGAUGGGAUGAUUGCUCUUCUCUAGGUCUCUUCCCCAGGUGGGAAAUUAGAACUUAGAAACUGCCUAAUCCAUUCUUCCUAGAGGACACUGAUCCUCUAAGAGCCACCAGCACCACCAGCCAGCUCCAGUGGUCACUAAAUCAGGAGACAGGGAACACUGCAGGACCUCUCCAACCUCCAGAAACCUGAGCAGGACCAGCCUUCACACCUGCUGUACCAUCAGAAAAAUCCCCUUUCAGAUGAACCUGGGAUGUCCAAGAGGUUCCUGAUGGACCUCAAGGAUGACAACCUUCCAUCAAUAUCUCCAAAAGAACCAAAAUGUCUCCAACAAAACCAAAAUGCCUCCAAUUCACUGUUCCACUGACUCCAUUUGUAUGUUCACAGGAUAUUUCCCCCCUCGUUGACAGCCAUAUUUAUUAUUUUUAAUCUAUGCCCAUAAAUUGGCAAGCAGGGGGAAGCAGAUAAAAUGGAAAAAGGAACUCUCAGGAGAUCAGUUGGGCUCAUUAAAUGUUUGGCACUCUGUGAUUAUCCUUUGGCAAUGAAAUGCCACUGCUAUAUUUUAGCAGGGAACACGAUACCUUAAUGUACAGGAGAAUCUCCUCAGCCCAAUUCUGGUACUCUUGAGAGAGGAGAAAUUCAAUCAUCUGUGACCUGGAUUGUAUUUUUUUAAUGUCUGCCAAGCUAGAUAAAAUAUUUAAAUAUUCACUUUUAUAUCAGCCCACAUGAGGAUUUGAGCAUUUCAGGUUGUGUAACACAGCAUGGCCUACUUUGGGGAGGAUGUACAGAAAUAGGCACAUAUGUACAAAAUAGUGAGUGUGCAGCAUGUGGGGCAGACAGACAGACAGACAGACAGAGUUAAUUAGUGUGGCACAAUCCCAGCUGCACCAGCCUGGGAAUUGCUGUCACUUCUGUUGGAUCUCAAAGGUCACCUGAGCAAAAACCAGGUGAAUCUGCCUCAAAUAAAGGUGGUCAAGCUUGGCUGAGUCCCUGUCUUGGGUUACAAUACAGGAUGUGACAGAAAUGUGGAUUCUGUCCCCACCUGCUGCAGCCGGGUGGGGCAGUGCCCCUGAUCUCCUGGCACACAUUAUCUGCUCAUGGGCCAGCUUUAAACCAGCUGGGCAAUCAUCUUUAUCUUCCCACAGCCCAUCCUCCCUCCAGGAGAUAUCUCCUGUUCAUGGCCACUGAGUCCCAGGGCAUGGCUGAUAAAAUUCCAUCCCCCCCCCCCCCCCCCCCCCCCCCCCCCCCCCCCCCCCCCCCCC